rnacentral:rRNA from 1 species
AGAUCCCUUCGGGGUGAUUUGUUGGACGCUAGCGGAGGAUGGGUGAGUAACACAUGGGCAAUCUGCCCUAAAGACUGGGAUACCACUUGGAAACAGGUGCUAAUACCGGAUAACAACAUGAAUCGCAUGAUUCAAGUUUGAAAGGCGGCGCAAGCUGUCACUUUAGGAUGAGCCCGCGGCGCAUUAGCUAGUUGGUGGGGUAAAGGCCUACCAAGGCAAUGAUGCGUAGCCGAGUUGAGAGACUGAUCGGCCACAUUGGGACUGAGACACGGCCCAAACUCCUACGGGAGGCAGCAGUAGGGAAUCUUCCACAAUGGACGCAAGUCUGAUGGAGCAACGCCGCGUGAGUGAAGAAGGUCUUCGGAUCGUAAAGCUCUGUUGUUGGUGAAGAAGGAUAGAGGCAGUAACUGGUCUUUAUUUGACGGUAAUCAACCAGAAAGUCACGGCUAACUACGUGCCAGCAGCCGCGGUAAUACGUAGGUGGCAAGCGUUGUCCGGAUUUAUUGGGCGUAAAGCGAGCGCAGGCGGAAUGAUAAGUCUGAUGUGAAAGCCCACGGCUUAACCGUGGAACUGCAUCGGAAACUGUCAUUCUUGAGUGCAGAAGAGGAGAGUGGAACUCCAUGUGUAGCGGUGGAAUGCGUAGAUAUAUGGAAGAACACCAGUGGC